rnacentral:tRNA from 1 species
GUGGGGUUGUGGCUCAGAGAUAGAGCGCUUGCCUACCAUGCAUGAGAUACUGGGUUCGAUCCUCAGCACCACA